GACGAACCACACAAACGUUAUUCGGAAUUACUGGGCUUAAAGGGUGCGUAGGCGGCGCGGAAAGUAGGGUGUGAAAUCCCUCGGCUCAACCGAGGAAUAGCGCCCUAAACUACCGUGCUCGAGGGAGAUAGAGGUGAGCGGAACUUAGGGUGGAGCGGUGAAAUGCGUUGAUAUCCUAAGGAACACCGGUGGCGAAAGCGGCUACACUGGAUCUCUUCUGACGCUGAGGCACGAAAGCUAGGGUAGCGAACGGG
rnacentral:rRNA from 1 species